rnacentral:rRNA from 1 species
GACAGAGGCCCCAAGCGUUAGGCGGAAUCACUGGGCUUAAAGCGUGUGUAGGCGGACGCCUAAGUGUCUUGUGAAAUCCCACGGCUCAACCGUGGAACUGCUGGGCAUACUGGGCGUCUUGGGCCAACUAGGGGCAGCCGGAACAAGCGGUGGAGCGGUGAAAUGCGUAGAUAUCGCUUGGAACGCCGAAGGUGAAAACAGGCUGCUGGGGUUGUGCCGACGCUGAGACACGAAAGCCAGGGGAGCAAACGGG